CGACUAAGCGUACACGGUGGAUGCCCUGGCAGUCAGAGGCGAUGAAGGACGUGCUAAUCUGCGAAAAUCGUCGGUAAGGUGAUAUGAACCGUUACAGCCGGCGAUGUCCGAAUGGGGAAACCCAGUGCAAUUCGUUGCCCUAUCGCUAACUGAAUACAUAGGUUAACGAGGCGAACCGGGGGAACUGAAACAGCGUCGGUAA
rnacentral:rRNA from 1 species